rnacentral:tRNA from 1 species
GACUCGCUCGUCUAGCGGUAAGGACGCUCGGUUUUCGCCCGAGCAACCGGGGUUCGAUUCCCCGGCGAGUCA